GAUGAACGCUGGCGGCGUGCUUAACACAUGCAAGUCGAACGGUGAACGAGGGAGCUUGCUCCCUCCGGAUCAGUGGCGAACGGGUGAGUAACACGUGAGCAAUCUGCCCUGGACUCUGGGAUAAGCGUUGGAAACGACGUCUAAUACCGGAUACGAGGCGUGGGGGCAUCCCCAACGCCUGGAAAGAACUUCGGUCCAGGAUGAGCUCGCGGCCUAUCAGCUAGUUGGUGAGGUAACGGCUCACCAAGGCGACGACGGGUAGCCGGCCUGGGAGGGUGACCGGCCACACUGGGACUGAGACACGGCCCAGACUCCUACGGGAGGCAGCAGUGGGGAAUAUUGCACGAUGGGCGCAAGCCUGAUGCAGCAACGCCGCGUGAGGGACGACGGCCUUCGGGUUGUAAACCUCUUUUAGCAGGGAAGAAGCGAAAGUGACGGUACCUGCAGAAAAAGCACCGGCUAACUACGUGCCAGCCGCCGCGGUAACAC
rnacentral:rRNA from 1 species